GAUGAACGCUGGCGGCGUGCCUAAUACAUGCAAGUCGAGCGAACAGACGAGGAGCUUGCUCCUCUGACGUUAGCGGCGGACGGGUGAGUAACACGUGGAUAACCUACCUAUAAGACUGGGAUAACUUCGGGAAACCGGAGCUAAUACCGGAUAAUAUAUUGAACCGCAUGGUUCAAUAGUGAAAGACGGUUUUGCUGUCGCUUAUAGAUGGAUCCGCGCCGCAUUAGCUAGUUGGUAAGGUAACGGCUUACCAAGGCAACGAUGCGUAGCCGACCUGAGAGGGUGAUCGGCCACACUGGAACAGAGACACGGUACAGACUCCUACGGGAGGCAGCAGUAGGGAAUCUUACGCAAUGGGCGAAAGCCUGACGGAGCAACGCCGCGUGAGUGAUGAAGGUCUUCGGAUCGUAAAACUCUGUUAUUAGGGAAGAACAAAUGUGUAAGUAACUAUGCACGUCUUGACGGUACCUAAUCAGAAAGCCACGGCUAACUACGUG
rnacentral:rRNA from 1 species